AGGAAGACUUCAUUAUUCAUUCCGUUGACAAGCGACAUGGGAAAGGCCGGGAGUAUAGAAGACAACUUCGUAGUCACGCUUGAAAAAUGAUGCUGUCCCCUCAGUUUGGCCAAAGCAAAACAAUGCCAUCCUUAAGCCUCCGAACGGCCUUUCCUUCUCAUCACCACCACCAAGGCCAACUCGAGCUUCCACUAGUAGUCUAAGACCCCAACUUGAACACCAACGUCAAGAGGCCUUGGAGUCAGAAAUAUUCAAUGUGGAAGAGUGUACACGUCAACUGAUAUGUUUGAUAAGUUAUCACGGUAGACAUUGCCAUCAGGAUUUCUUCUUAUAAAAGCACCCAAAUUGUCACUCGUAAAACUUGUAGCUACAUCGCAUUCUCUCUCAA
rnacentral:lncRNA from 1 species